GACUCCAUGGCCCAAUGGAUAAGGUGUUGGUCUACGAAACCAGAUAUCUUGGGUUUGAUCCCCAGUGGAGUCG
rfam:Ipomoea nil DNA, scaffold: scaffold0268, cultivar: Tokyo-kokei standard.